CAAAAAUUAGCAUAAAUAUAAUGUAUCUCACUUACGUUGAGAUUAUAAUUACAAUUUGUAAUUAUUUUUGA
rnacentral:tRNA from 1 species